CAGCAGGUGACAUCCCACAAAUUAUCUUUGCCAUCCUGGGUCAAGCACGGAAGACAGCCUUAGGGUACCAAUGGCAGAAAAGUAACCUGAUUUUUGGCAUGACAAAAUACCAUGACUUGAAAAUUACCACCGAUUUUAAGCAUGGUAUCGGGGGACACUGUGUUCGUACCUGGAACGCUGGAAGAACCCACACUGGGACAGAGAAGAAAAUGGAACACAGUAAGUUGCUGAAGCUGCUGCCAAAGAACUACAAUUACAGAAACAAUAAAUUCUUCCUUCACAGAGAUAUACAGUUGUAGACUGGAAAAUGUAAGAUAGCCAGAUGAAUAAACUCACCUUCCACAGUAAGAGUACUAGCAGCGCGAGCAUCAGUAUUCCAGCAAAAAUUGCCACCGCGAUGAUCCACCAAGGUACUCCUGUAUAAAGUGCUACUGGUUUUGCAGGGAAGACAGUAACGCGGACCUGAGUGACAUACAAUAUGCAAAGAAAGAUGGUAAGAGCAUUCCAGAAGCAUCUGAUUUUAAUAGCUGCAAUUUAUACAAGUCUUACCUCUUCCUUAAUACAAUGGCUUCUCUCUCAUUUGCCAAACAUUUUUGGAAGAGAAAGACUCUACUGCUAUCAUUUCAGUAUGGUAGUGAUUUUUUUUCAAUCUGAUUAAAGAUCAAAAUUAUUGGGAAUUUAAAUUCAAAACUCAGUUAAAAAGAUAACCCUUUGACCACUUCUGAGUGAACAAUUUCUUUUUUCCCAGUCUUUGAGAUAAGGUGAAAAUAUCACAGGGUAUGGUUAGCAUUAAUGUUAAGCCUACCUGAGCAGCUUCGUUUGUGAGUUUAACAUUCUUAGCUGCAGCAGGAACACUGACAGAAGCCCGAACAAGAAUAUCCAGGUAGUUCAUUUUGGAGUAUUCCUGUUCCAGAAUAAAGCACAGAUAUUAGACACAGAACAGAAAAGAACUCUGACCUCCCAAACUGGCAGGUUAAGAGUACUUACUUCUAAGAAAGUACUGUUCCACAGUCUGGAGCGCAGCACAAUGGAUGCCUUGCUAUCUAAACCCUUCAGGGGACAUUUUAUGUCCACACAGCGUGCGUUCACAUUGCAAUCCUGCAACAGAAAUAUCUGCGUGUAAAUAAAAACACAUCCUCUCAAAUUUAGUGAAAUACCCACCACAUCCUGCCAACUUCUUGAUUAAAAGUUUGAUUAUAUGCAUACUUAUGUGCAAGAACCAAAAUCUGUUUACACUGACAGCAAUAGGAAAAUGCAGUUAAUAUGCCAUUACCUCUUUAUUUUAAUGUACGUAACUAUGGAGACAUUCUUUUGUAUGUCUCUCAUCUGUAGAUUAUCUAAAUGGUCUACUUUUAAAAGCAUUGAUACUUGGUUUUAGAGAUUAAAAAAACCAAACAAACCUUUUUUUCCCCUCCCUGCCAAAGUCACAAAGAAAAGCCAUCUUGCAAGUGCAUGGGGAGGUGGUAAUUGCCAGAUUAGAGUUGCAAUAUGCUUACCAAGGUCUUGUAUUUUCUUUCUGAGAAUAAAGAAAGUGUCUUGCCAUCUGUAAUCUGUUUCUCUGCAACCUCACGUUUCCUUCUUGAGUUUUGGGAUUCCUAAAAGGGAAGGGAAAAAGAAAAAAAGUAGUAAGAAGCUGCUUAGUCAUUUAUCAGAUGUACCUCUUAAUUCUGACCCAGUACAAGCAGAGAAAUUAGCUCAGUUAGUGGUUUCUUGUUGCAAGAUCAGCAUACAGACAUCAUUACACACCUGUGAACCCCUGUUUACUUAAUUUCUAGAGUCAAGAUGCGGUUUUAAUGGUAAAAAUUAAAACUCCUCCCAAGCAAUCUUAAGGUUGUAUGAAAACAAAAACUGAUGACAUCUUGGGGUUCUAGAAAAAAGAAAUAAUCUUGCUACAGAGGCACAAAGAAGAGCUAACUUAGCUUGAGAAAUUCUUUAUAUCUCAUAUUUUGUAAGAAUGAACAUUUAAUUGCAAACCCUUUAAGAAAGUACAUGGAGUGAAAUAUAUGGGGAAAUGUUUACUGCUGUUUGUUGUUUUCCAUGUAAGAACUUGAUCAGAUCUCAGUAAUGCUGACAAAAUCCAUUAAUCAGUAACUUCAUACUUUAAGAGCAUGAGAUAAAAACACCCCUGGCAAAAACAGUCACAGGGCUUCUAUCCUUCAGCAUGUUAUCCUCAGUAGCUGUUACAGUGUCUCUUAAUAAGCUUAGCUUGUGAGAUGCUUAAGACAAAAUCCUUUCCGAGACAAGCUCUUGUGUCUUACCAUCACAUGCUGCAGUGCUUUCAUAUUGUGCUAAUUAAUCAUCAACAGAGGACAGGGUAACGUACCGCAAGGUGCAGACUGUUGAUUUCACUCUCAGGUUGACAGGAGACUUUCUCCAAAUCUUUGGAAUCUAUGCUCAUUAAAUAAAGAAGCCAUUUGCCAUUACUAAUCUCUUUUGGCCACUGGAUGUCCAGCGAAGCAGUACCAAAUGUUUUCAGUGGUCUGCCCAGGUUAGUUACCUGUUAAAAUAAACAUUCUUUAAACUGUGAAAUACCAUAUAAAGGAAUUUUCUUCUUGAUCAGAAGUGUUAUUUAAGCAUGCAGCUAACAGGAAAUUUAAGAGCAGAUGAAAGACAGUGGAAACAGUAUAAAGAUAAAGCAUGUACCAAAACUAGCACACUUGGAUAGCAAGUACAUAGAGUUAAAAGAUACAAGGAUUAAAAUUCCCUGAUCUUUAGGCUGUUUACUCUUAGAAAUUUAUCUUCAUGUGAAACAACAAGAACUCUAGUUUGGCGAAAUUGUUCCAUUACAGAACAGGCCAAUUGCAAGUUAAUGAGGAAUUCUGACACAGGAUAACCAGUUCUUGCUCCAUAAUUCUGGAAGUUGUUUGCUCAGCUUAAUUUUCACUCUCUUAGUGUUACUGUUCAUAAUGUCAUAAUACCUGUGUGUAGGUAGAGGAAAGUGAAGAAUUGACAGAAAUUAUUUUCAGUCUAAACAAACUACUAUGUACAAAGACAGCAGAGCUUGCAGUAAUGGUGUAGAAAAAGCAGCUCUCUUGUUGAUAAAAGUUUUUACAGAAUCAAAAUACUCUCUCCUAGCCAUGUCCUUGCUUACUUAUUAGGCAGAAGACCAAAAGAGUGAAAUAGAUCCAUGCAUUCACAGUAGCCCCCACAGUGUCUACUUGUGCCUGCUCAAUCCUGCAUGCAGUGAAUACAUGUGCUUGCUGUCUGUAUGCACCAGCUAACACCUGGGCGCACCACAGUUAGGGCACUGGAAUUGUUUCCCACCUGCAACAGGGUUUGAUGCCUGCACAACUGCAGGUGAAUGAACUGCUGAAAACAACCAAACACAGCCAGCUUCAGGCCACUUCAACAAAAUGUACUGAUAAAACAUCUAAGCCCAAAAGAACUGUCUUCUGCAGUCAGAUUGUGUGAUGUUCUGAUCAGGAAGUCAGGAUUUUGGGACAACAAAAGCUAAUUUUAAAUCCAGCAACUUUUCCAAGUGUUUAUAUGCAUAAGGAGAGAAGCUGUUUCUUUGAUUAAAAGCAGCCAGUGGCAUAAAUGUAAAUUACUCACUCUGAAUUCAUACUCUAUGAGGUUUCCAAUAUUGUCUUCAGAUUUCAUAGCACUCUCACCAACGAUCUUGCCUCCAAAAUACACCUGAGAUGGCUUAGCAACUCUGUUCAGGUGGGGGUGGAGAGAAGAAGAAUGAGAUUUUUAAUGAAGUCUGCAGUGAAACUGUCAUCCCCAGCCCCCCACUUGUUAUGCUAUCAACACUUACCCGGUGAGUGAUAAAAGCAAUUCAAGAACCACUUUAGCACUAGCUGUAAUUGGAGUUGAAUUAACUUGAGUGCUUGUCCUACAAUGGAAAUGAAACGAUGCUGGCUUUAGCAGUUUUCAUCUUAGCAUUAAAUCGCUUGUGAAUGGAACAAAUUAGUUUCAAAAUGUUUACAGCUGCCUAUAAAAACAGAGUGUAUGCACACACAGAAAACUUACGUUUCCAACUUCAGAGUAACGUCCAAGUCUGUUGUAUCAACAUUAACUUUAGUGGUACUUAAGAUGAGAUAAAAGGUUACCUAGACAAAGAAGAGUAUGUAAGCAUUUAAUAAGAACUGUAUUAAUAGAAACAGUAUUAUAGAAAUAACACUGUCAUGUUCUAGUACUAAGAAGACAGACCUAAAUCGAAUUUCCAAUUAUGACACACAAAAUUAGGACCACUGCACUCAGGAAUCAGAUUUUACAAACCUGAGGUGCAACUUACAUUGGAAUUUCUUUUAAAAGGAUUUCCAAGUUCACACUCCGCUUGAGAACCAUUUUGGUUAGCGCUACACGUUAGCUGUUUCUCCUGAUAAAACAAAAUACAUUUAAAAGUGAAAAUGUGCUGAAAAAAAAAUUUAAUUGACUAUUUUUUCUCUUAAAAAUACUUACAGGAUAACCCUUCAUCUCCCUGAAUGCAGAAUAUGUCAAACUGUCUGGAAAAGUGGCAAUGAGUUUAGCUUCAUAUGCAUCUUCACCGUCUUUUUGUGGAUUUUUAGUAUCAGAUGGAUUGUUUGUCACUGUUAUCUCCAGGGCAAUAUCUUUCUGAUCUUUCAGAACCAGCACUGGCAUGCCAUUUUCACUACAGAAACAGUGCACAGAGAAGGUGUGUGCAUUAGCAAAACAAAUGUGCAUAGAAGUUUGCUGCUUCUUAUGGUUUACCCACAUCUAGUUCCCUCUAUUAGAUAAGAAUCUCUGGAAGAUAAUGAACACCUCAGUGGUCAUAGGCUUUUUUUUUCCUAGACCAGUACUUCAUCUGAGAUACUCCUCAGGGCAUCAAGAGUUUACAGUAUUUCUGAAGCAGUGCUUGUAUCUGGCUGUGUUUCACAGUGAUUAGUUUUUCACUGACUGUCUCUAUUGUAAAGCAGAGAUUUGGCUUUAGCUUCCGAGUCAAGCUGUGGCACUUGCCAAAGGUGGCUGGUGACGAUUGGUGCUAUUACACAGGACUCUCUGUUGGCCAGACUAACAACAAAGCUGCUGUCUCCUAGAACCCCUCCUAAAUGUUCUUUCAAGCACUUAAUAAUAAUUUGGACUUAUCAAUGAGUCAAUCAAAGCUUACAUGGGCAGUGUGCCGGACUCCAGGCCAGCGAUUUUAACACUGACUGAUACUGGGAUGGGGCGCAGCUUAUCUUUAAUUUUUUCUGGCUGAAAUAUUUCAAGUGGCAUAGUUAGUGUGCAGUGCAGAGAAGGAAAGCCAACAUAAAACUAGCAUUUGGUGCACCAUUAGAGCAAGUAGUAAAGCAAAAUAUUUUCUACCACAUUUUGCAGCAUUAGAACUAUUCACUAUACAGAAGUAAGAACAUAAGGAGCACAGCCCUACUGUCUGUUUUUCUUUCUGGCUCCCCAGUCUGAUGAUUUCUGUCACUGUUAGGAAUUCUUAGGAAGAACAACAGAUGGUAACUAAGGCAAGUGAAAUGCACACUACAACAGCACAGUAAGUCCCUAUUGCAUUAAGUUCAAGCUUUUCAAUUUGCUGUAGUCCAGAGCAACCUUGGAGGCUGACUCACUGCUGCUGAGCAACAGACAGAAUUUGUUCAGCUCCUGGAGCACUGCCACCUUGGAGUGCCAGUUUAACAGCCAAGUCAGAGAGCACAUAGACCAAGCUUUCUUGUCCUGCCCUUCUGAAACAUGUGGGUUGUAGUUCUUUUCCUAGCCAGUCACACCAUUAAAUUCUGUAACAAUUACUUCUGUUCAAAACAGCUCUGCAUUUUCAGUAUUUAUUCUAGAUCAGUUCAGCUCUACUGACUGCAAGAGCAUGCUGUAGUGGCUGCAGUCUGUAAGAAACGCAACAGGAGGCAGCAUCAGGCAUGCAGGGAAUAAUGAGGUACUACUGAACUAUGGCUGGUUUGGAAUUUUGAAGCUUUAUAUUACAUGUGACAUAGAUCUUAUACAAUGAGGCUGAGAAAAAGAAAAUGCUUUUAACGGGAUCUAAACUAAAUAAAAAUAUUCUUUCUUACCUGCAGUACAAGCUUGGUUGUCACACACUCUUUUGAGUUCUGUCCCCUUAGGGUUGUACUUGCAGUGAACUGAUCAGACAGGUGGUCUCUAAACUGCACCCUGGAUGGCAGGCCUAACUGCCUCCUCUCAUUUUCUGCUUCAAAGGUAUAGUUGAUCUCUGUAUGAAGAAGUAAAGUAGGUCACUAUUAAAAAGAACUCUUGUUUUAUUAAAAAGAACUUUCUUUUCUCCAUGCAUGACCUUACAAUGUUGUUCUAGAAGACUGCUUCAGGCAGUGCUGGGCAUCACAAACUGCUUCCGGUUCUUUCCAAAACUUUCUCUACCUGCCAGUUUUGGCCCUCUCCAGUUCAGGGCCAGCCACACUGUGCAUUCAUCUGAAGCAAACUUCGAAACCAGAUCUUUUUAUUCCCAAAAGUACCCCAUGACUUUUCCAGCAUCCAGAGCUGGCUGGAGGGGCUGUUAAUUGCUGCUGUGCAGCCAGCAGAAAGCUGAGACAGGACUCUGUAGAACACUCCUGGCUGAGCUGCCCUUGAUUUCUGUCACAAGGGCACCUAAGCAGCCAUCAAAACUUUGAGGUCAAGGUAUGCUGUUAAUUUUAACACUGAAAGCAAGAGUAUGACCAAAGCUUUUCAGUUGUAUGCUGAAGCAUGUUUUGCUAGACCUAAACUGUGCAAUAUUUUAAUUAUCUCUGUAUUCACCAAGCUAAUUCAAUGUUGCAGCAAGCCUGCCAGUCCUCAGGAGCAUACAGUGGAACACAUGUGAGUCACCUCCUGAAUGCCUAAAGCACCUGACCUGUUGAAGGACCAGGACCUUACUCAGACACUUCCUAUGGAUUUUACAGCUCUUUCAGGUACCUCGGCAGAGUAUCAUCUUACACUUAAACCAGCCCAAAAACGUGGAGGGAGAUGCGAGUCGUUCUAAUGCGUUACAGGAUCCACCAAUGCUUCCAUUUCAUAGCAGUGCAGCAGGCUGGGAUCACAAGUUUUAAGAAACCUGAAGAAGUUUAGCAUAUAUACUUAAUCCUACCUAAGUAAC